rnacentral:misc_RNA from 1 species
AACCGAUCACAAGUUUAAGAAAAAAAAUUUGAAGGUAACCAAUCACAAGUUCACAACAUCACUGGCAUAUGAGUGUUAAGGCGGGCCCACUUUUCCCUAUCAGGUUGGUGCACACAGUUGGAGAAAAAAGAAUUGGUACUAUAAAAACUCAUCCGUCUCCUUGGCCGGUGAUUUUGCUCAGAUUUUCCCUGCACGAUCAGGAUCAUGUUUGCGUAGAAGAAAGUCCACCACGAUUAAAUUCAAUUGCACGGACAGAGCCUGUGAUCGUCUAUUCUCUGCAAGCACCAGCCGACCUCUUGUCUUUGUAUGUUGUUCUCUGGCUUCCCUCUUCUGGUUGCAAACUGAACUUGGCGCAGAGUUUGAUCACGGCAGAAGCAGUGGAGCUCAGCAACAG